CCUACGGGAGGCUGCAGUGAGGAAUAUUGGUCAAUGGCCGUAAGGCUGAACCAGCCAAGUAGCGUGAGGGAAGACUGCCCUAUGGGUUGUAAACCUCUUUUAUGCGGGGAUAAAGGUGUCCACGUGUGGAUGUUUGCAGGUACCGCAUGAAUAAGGACCGGCUAAUUCCGUGCCAGCAGCCGCGGUAAUACGGAGGAUCCGAGCGUUAUCCGGAUUUAUUGGGUUUAAAGGGAGCGUAGAUGGUUUGUUAAGUCAGUUGUGAAAGUUUGCGGCUCAACCGUAAAAUUGCAAUUGAUACUGGCAGUCUUGAGUACAGUUGAGGUAGGCGGAAUUCGUGGUGUAGCGUUGAAAUGCUUAGAUAUCACGAAGAACCCCGAUUGCGAAGGCAGCUUACAAAACUGUGAAUGACAUUGAUGCUCGAAAGUGUGGGUAUCAAACAGGAUUAGAGACCCCAGUAGUC
rnacentral:rRNA from 1 species